AAUCCCUAAUCCGUGAAUCCAUUGAAGAAUCCCUAAUUCAAAAUCCCUCGUUAAAGGGUUUCUGAAUCAUCAAAGGUUUUCCAGAACUAUCGGCUUUGUGGAUGCUGGAAUCAACUUUUCUUUGCAAGUUUUCAAGAAUGCUCAUCUUACUUAGUGGAGGCAGUAAGCAGUUGUUGAAUGCAAGUUAAUUUGGAACCGAAGCACUAUAUCAUCCGGGAUUUUGCAAAGACAACUCUUUCUCAAGGUUAGUCAUCCCUAUGUUAAUUUGGAACCAGACUGAACUGUUAGUGUUUGCAAUAGUUAGUGUUUGCAUCAGUUAGUAUUUCUCAAGGUUGGGGUUAUA